GUCGAGAAUCUUUCACAAUGGGGGCAACCCUGAUGGAGCGACGCCGCGUGGAGGAUAAGGUCUUCGGAUUGUAAACUCCUGUCAUGCGUGAACAAGGUUGCUUGGUUAAUACCUGGGCAAAUUGAUGGUAACGCAAGAGGAAGAGACGGCUAACUCUGUGCCAGCAGCCGCGGUAAUACAGAGGUCUCAAGCGUUGUUCGGAAUCACUGGGCGUAAAGGGUGCGUAGGUGGCGUGGUAAGUCAGAUGUGAAAGCCCGGGGCUCAACCUCGGAACUGCAUACGAUACUGCCAUGCUAGAGUACUGGAGAGGUGACUAGAAUUCUCGGUGUAGCAGUGAAAUGCGUAGAUAUCGAGAGGAAUACCAAAGGCGUAGGCAGGUCACUGGACAGUUACUGACACUGAGGCACGAAGGCCAGGGGAGCGAACGGGAUUAGAAACCCCGGUAGUCC
rnacentral:rRNA from 1 species